rnacentral:rRNA from 1 species
GCAAGUCGAGCGAUGAUUAAGAUAGCUUGCUAUUUUUAUGAAGAGCGGCGAACGGGUGAGUAACGCGUGGGAAAUCUGCCGAGUAGCGGGGGACAACGUUUGGAAACGAACGCUAAUACCGCAUAACAAUGAGAAUCGCAUGAGUCUUAUUUGAAAGAACCAAUUGCUUCACUACUUGAUGAUCCCGCGUUGUAUUAGCUAGUUGGUAGUGUAAAGGACUACCAAGGCGAUGAUACAUAGCCGACCUGAGAGGGUGAUCGGCCACACUGGGACUGAGACACGGCCCAAACUCCUACGG